ensembl:lncRNA
CUCACCGCGUGGAAAUGGACGGCGGAGCCCAACGUCGCGGGUAGAAAUGGCCGCCCCCCUCCGCCGGGAGAUGGCCGGGAGGGGGGGGGGGCGGACCGUGCUCCGCAACGACUGCAAGCGUGGUCCCGCUAUUAACCGUGAUGAAUUGCCCUCAAAGAGCGAGUUGUGAAAGAGAGAAGUCCAGGCAGGUGUCCGCGAUAAGGAGACAUUAAAAUGCUUCGUCUGUAAACUCGCUUGUCCCACGGAUGGGAACCAGUGGGUUUUCAGGCUGUGCCCACCGAGAAUGGGCUGAGCGCAUUCGUUCGCCUGGCUGUAAGUGCACAGGGGUGGCUCGGAGCUGUACAGACUCACACAACUGGAUGAUCUCGCAGGGGCUGUCGUGGCCGAAUGCCACAGACUCGACUGUCCCGUGCUGCAGAGAAGCGUGCGUUGGGAUCCGGCAGUCCUGUGGAAAUUCAGGUUCACUGAGCUCAAAAGAAACGCGGAGCCACAAAUGUAUGAGCCGGGUUACACCCACGGCUGCCGGCGGGGCUGGGGAUGCAGUGCUGUAUUCCACACAUACCCAUCAGAACGAGGGCCCGAGCUGCUGAGGGAAGAGCUCAGAAGCUGUUGAAUCCCAUUUAUUAUCAAUUUUAUGAUGAUUUUUCUCUCGCUAUUUUGCUGCCUUGUUUGGUUAUUGAUGAAUUCCAGAACGGUUUCUUCUUGUUUUGCCUCUGUGUUUUAUGCUUUGGGAUGGGUGAGGGUAAAAUGAGCAUCAGUGGCUCUAUAAAGAGUUCCUUGAGCCUCGUGCUCCCUUUGAAAUCCCAAAUGGAAGGUUGUCCUGCCACGGGGCUGUGGAAUUACCCCACAGAUGGGGAGGAUGGGGAAAAAGCAGCAGUAAGGCCAUCGUGUACGUGGCAUUGCAAGAGAGUAAAGAGAGACCUUACAGAAAUAUACAGCAGGGCUCUGUGGGAACGUGAAGGUUCAGACUGCAGCCUGGCCCUGUGCUUCACUGCAUUGGCUUCCCCCACUUCAGCGUGUGUGCACACAGAGUCCUGUGUCUGUUGUUUCCUCCCAGUGCUUUAGGAUGCCAGUGACUCUUGUUUGUGAAACAAAAGGGCAGCUCAAGAGGGAAAAAAAAAACCUGACACUGUGUUAAUUUUCGCAGGUUUGUGUUUACAGCGUAUAGUAAUAAUACCUUGCAUUUGUGUAGCACUUGGCGUUUGGCAAUCAGAAUGAGCACUGUGCCCGUGCUGAAGUGAAUUUCGCCAUUGCUCAGAGACGUGUGGAUGUGUUAUCCUCCUUUUACAGUGUAUUUGUGGUGGGACAGCAGAAGCUGUGAAUUUAAAAGGCCAAGCACAUUCACAUUCAUGAGUGAUAAAAGAGCUCUGGAGCUGGAAGUGAGGCACGAUUCCUUCCUCAUCUCCAUUCAUCUACAUGCUGAUGAUCUGCACGUCUUUCAUCUUCAGACAUGCAGGACCCGAUCUGAGAAGAUCUGCCCCAAUGUGGAAAAUGUAUUGUAAUGUCUUUUUCUCUGAUGAGCGGCUUAUAAACGUUUGAGCUAAGAUUUCAGCAAUCAGAGCUAUACCUUCCGCCUUCGUUUCCUGUUUAACCUUGUUUCUCAGGUCUUCACUUCAAUCAUGCAAUUACCGCUUAUGCAUUUUUAGGAGAGCUUCAUUAAAACUGUGCCCUUGCAUUGGUUUCAGCAGCACCGGCAUUCAGUUGUGCAGCACUUGCAGGUCACAUCGUUGGUUGGUGCAUAUUGGCAUUAUGAGAUGAAAAUCGAUGGAGCUGUGGCACUCUAUGCAGUUCGGGAUUCCAGGGCUUUAAUUCCCUCCGUUUCAAGAGAUGCGAUACUGAAAUCAGUCCAAGUAAUGGUUGAAAUGAUUGGAGUGGAAGCUUGCACAGAUGAUGUGCCAGGUGCUAAGAAAUGCCAGCUCAGAAAACACUCAGGGCACUGUUAGACCUGGGGAAGGUGUUAGGAGGAGCAGCCGCCCAUUACCAACUUCUUACCCUUUUUCCCAAACAAUGUGGUGUUGCUGUUAGGUGCUGUGCUUGACUGGACCUCACUUUGGGAGACGGUAAUAACAGGUUUUGUAUUCUGG